rnacentral:lncRNA from 1 species
UCCUCGCUAAUUUACGAGGAAAUAACUUCGUUUAUGUUUAAAUCCCUGAAAUCCGAAACCCCAAUCCCCAUCUUCCUUAUCUUCUACUUCAUAUAUUCCAAACCCCAACCUCGUCCUCCCUUUAACCUCAAUCUCUUAUAUCUAUUCUAAACCCCAAAUUCUAAAACCACAAUUCCUUAACUAAUAAUCUCAAUCUCUUCUUUCUAAUUCAAACCCCAUUACACAAAAUUAAAUUAUAUAAAUAGAUUUCCAUGAU